rnacentral:misc_RNA from 1 species
UAUGGUAAUUUGUCCUGCCAAUCCAAAACACAAACAACGUCAGGGAUAGAAAGGAAACAUAAAGAAUGGCUCGUAUUGCUGGAGUUGAUAUUCCAAAC